rnacentral:rRNA from 1 species
UACAGAGGCCCCAAGCGUUACUGAGAAUCACUGGGUUUAAAGGGUGCGUAGGUGGUCCGUUAAGUUCGUUGUGAAAGCCCUGGGCUCAACCCAGGAACUGCUUCGAAUACUGGCGGACUUGAGGCUAGUAGAGGUCACUGGAACUGACGGUGGAGCGGUGAAAUGCGUAGAUAUCGUCAGGAACGCCAAUGGUGAAGACAGGUGACUGGGCUAGUUCUGACACUGAGGCACGAAAGCCAGGGGAGCAAACGGG